ensembl:lncRNA
CGGGGGCAGCGGGGACGCAGGCCCUGGGCGGCGUCGGCUCGGCGCACGUGGCGCUCGGCGCUGCGCAGCCGGAACGCGGAGGGUGGGGUGUCCGCGGAUCAUCAUUUGGGCUAUUCCCCUGAAGUCAAGCAUGAAAUCUAUUUAGCUGGAGAGCUACCCAUUUCCUCUGACCUGCAGAAGAGAUGCCCUGUUCUUUCAGAAUCGCUGGAAUGCCAGAAUCUGAAGAAAACUGGAGCCACAUGCCUGGGCCCCUUGAGAUCCUCCCAUCCCUACUCCAUGCCAAAGGAACAUGCUGACAGAAAUGCAGCGGACUUGCAGUGCUUGACCCAGAAGCACAGCUGCCGAUUCAUCGGCAGAGGUCAUUGUGUGACUUUAAGUUGCUAUGGAUUUAAGAGCGUCUCUUAUCAACUGGGGUAUUUAAAUCUCUUUUGUCCCUGGGACCUUUUGGGCAGUUUUGUAAAAACCUAUAGGCUCCUCAGAAAAGAUGUUCUUAAAUGCCCAAAUGAUAUUGAAAUCAAGUUAUCAGAAUAUUUUAAAGAAACAAAUUUAUGAAGUAGUUAUUAUAUUUUGCUUUCUUAUUUAACCCAAUAAAUGAAAAAUCUCAUGAUGGGUCUAAUAAAUUAUAUAAUAUUGAAAUAGGGAAUAAGUGUGAAUAAUAGUUCAAACUUAUCAACAAUUAUAAUGUGAUAUGAAGGAUCUGUGAUUUUUAUUGCUGACCAAGUCACAGGGACAGCCAAUGCUGUAGUUUAUUGCCUAUGUACAUAAUGAAAAAUGCUAGUUUGUAGAAAUGAAGAUGUAAUUUUUUUCACAUCCAAGUUUAUUAACUUCUGCUUUUAUUUGAUUGCAUUUCCUAUCACUCCCCUUCCAAGUGAAG